rnacentral:rRNA from 1 species
AUUGAACGCUGGCGGCAUGCCUUACACAUGCAAGUCGAACGGUAACGGGCCUUCGGGUGCCGACGAGUGGCGAACGGGUGAGUAAUACAUCGGAACGUGCCCGAUCGUGGGGGAUAACGAGGCGAAAGCUUUGCUAAUACCGCAUACGAUCUACGGAUGAAAGCAGGGGACCGCAAGGCCUUGCGCGGACGGAGCGGCCGAUGGCGGAUUAGGUAGUUGGUGGGAUAAAAGCUUACCAAGCCGACGAUCUGUAGCUGGUCUGAGAGGAUGAUCAGCCACACUGGAACUGAGACACGGCCCAGACUCCUACGGGAGGCAGCAGUGGGGAAUUUUGGACAAUGGGCGCAAGCCUGAUCCAGCCAUGCCGCGUGCAGGAUGAAGGCCUUCGGGUUGUAAACUGCUUUUGUACGGAACGAAAAGCCUUCUUUUAAUACAGGAGGGUCAUGACGGUACCGUAAGAAUAAGCACCGGCUAACUACGUG